CACAUGGGUUGUCCAAAACGGUGCCGUUUUGGCACCUGGACUUCCCCCAAAAACGGUGUCAUUUUAUUAACAUAUAAAAGUCCCAUUUUUUCAAAAAAAGAAGAAUCUUAUUUUCUUUCUUUUCCAGAAAACCAAUAGCAGCCCUUUCUCCCACCAUUUUCUUCAUUUUCAUCUAUGCUAGGGUUUCAAAGAAACCCAUUUCGCUGCCGCCAUGAAGCCACCGUAGGUGGUGGUCGGGGCUACGCGAAAGGGGUCUUUUGACCCUGAUUUUGGAGCACCCGAAGGCGAUAUUCUCCUUAGCCCAAGAAGACCAAAAGAAGAAGGUCCCCUCCUUCUCCCUUUCGAGUCCAUUUCCGACGACGGAGAUGAACUCCAACGACGCGACCCUCGGGAUCCUGGUGAUGGGAUGAUGGGACGGAGGCAGUGCAAGUGGAGGCAAGUGGCCCUAGGGUUUGCUGCUUCUGUUUUUUUUUUCUGCUGGUGGUUUGGGCUUGUUUGUAAUCGGGUCUGGGUCUUUGGGGUUAGUUUUGGGCUUGGGUAUAUUGGGCUGAUUUAGGCCUGGUCAAAUUUGGACCGGUACAACCACUUUUCAGUUUUUUAUAAUAAUUCCUAGGUUCUAAACUGAAUUUAUUUCAGUAAA